CAGAAAUCUAAGUUGAAGGUUCCUGACCAAUAAACUAACAGCAGUAUCACUUGGUACCUUAUCCACAAGCUUUCCAACCAACAAGUUACUUCUACUUGCUUUUGGUUGAUUUUUCUUUCCAACAAGUGCUAUCUUUUCAGUAACUCUACCAAAGUAUGCAUAAAGAUCUAGAACGAAAAAUAGUUGAUCAACUGAGGUGUUUGAUAGAUACUGUUG
rnacentral:misc_RNA from 1 species